rnacentral:rRNA from 1 species
AAACGAUUUAUUAAUCAUGUUGAAACACCCGAUCUCAUUCUGAACUCGAUGUGUGAAAAUUUUUCAAAUCUCAUAAUACUUUAAAUAUAUUUAAGGGAACAUGAGACUAAUUU